rnacentral:rRNA from 1 species
ACCCGCUGAACUUAAGCAUAUCANUAAGCGGAGGAAAAGAAACCAACAGGGAUUGCCUCAGUAACGGCGAGUGAAGCGGCAACAGCUCAAAUUUGAAAUCUGGCCUCAUGGCCCGAGUUGUAAUUUGUAGAGGGUGUCUCGGGCGCGACGCCGGUCUAAGUUCCUUGGAACAGGACGUCACAGAGGGUGAGAAUCCCGUACGUGACCGGCCGUCAACCCCAUGUGAGACCCCUUCGACGAGUCGAGUUGUUUGGGAAUGCAGCUCUAAAUGGGUGGUAAAUUUCAUCUAAAGCUAAAUACCGGCCAGAGACCGAUAGCGCACAAGUAGAGUGAUCGAAAGAUGAAAAGCACUU